rnacentral:rRNA from 1 species
GACGAACGCUGGCGGCGUGCCUAAUACAUGCAAGUAGGACGCAGUUGCGAACGGGUGAGUAACGCGUAGGUAACUACCUAUUAGAGGGGGAUAACUAUUGGCAACGAUAGCUAAUACCGCCUACUAGUAGAUGGACCUGCGUUGUAUUAGCUAGUAGGUAGGGUAAUGGCCUACCUAGGCAACGAUACAUAGCCGAGCUGGGAGGGUGGACGGCCACACUGGGAAUGAGACCAGGGCCAGACUUCUACGGGGGGCAGCAGUAGGGAAACUUCGGAAAUGGGGGGAACCCUGACCGAGCAACGCCGCGGGAGUGAAGAAGGGUUUCGGGUCGUAAAGCUCUGUUGUUAAGGAAGCGGUACUUAACCAGAAAGGGACGGCUAACUACGUGCCAGCAGCCGCGGUAAUUC